rnacentral:rRNA from 1 species
GACGAACGCUGGCGGCGUGCUUAACACAUGCAAGUCGAACGGAAAGGCCCUGCUUUUGUGGGGUGCUCGAGUGGCGAACGGGUGAGUAACACGUGAGUAACCUGCCCUUGACUUUGGGAUAACUUCAGGAAACUGGGGCUACUACCUGAUAGGAGCUCCUGCUGCAUGGUGGGGGUUGGAAAGUUUCGGCGGUUGGGGAUGGACUCAGGUCUUAUCAGCUUGUUGGUGGGGUAGUGGCUUACCAAGGCGUUGAUCGGUAGCCGGUCUGAGAGGGUGAUCAGUCACACUGGAACUGGGACACGGUCCAGACGCCUACGGGAGGGAGCAGUGGGGAAUAUUGGACAAUGGGCGAAAGCCUGAGCCAGCCAUGCCGCGUGUGUGAAGAAGGUCUUCGGAUUGUAAAGCACUUUAAGUUGGGAGGAAGGGCAAUAAGUUAAUACCUUGCUGUUUUGACGUUACCAACAGAAUAAGCACCGGCUAACUUCGUG